CCCUAAUACUCUUGUGUUGAUUAGCAUCUCUUUUAUUUCCUUCCCUAGAAGCAGAAGGACAGCUUGGCUAGUGGCAUGGGUCCCUAGAAGACUGUUGGCGGGGAUGGACAGCAAUGGCAAAGCACACCUCAUCGGUCACUUCCAGACUUUUCUGAUGCCACAGAAGACAGAGGCUUUGCUGCUUGCAGUUGCUGGUGGGGAGCGUGGAACUGGGAGCGUCGAGGAUGGGAGAGACAGCCUCUACAUCCUCCUUUUUCCUCUCUUCCUCCCUGAGCAAACACUGAGGUUUGGAACCCCAGCUCUGCCACUCUCCAGCUGUCAACUUUGCGCAUAGAGCCUGGGGGAUGGAGAUCCUCAUGCACCGUUUCGCCUGGGCCAUGCAAACCUGAUGUGCCCUUUAGCGGGGACAGUCUCCUGUGCAAGCAGAGGGCAAGGAGGUCAGAUAAAGCCACGAUUGCUGAAGUGAGUGGAUUGAUUAUCUCACCUAUCAGUUGCCUGUCGGCUGCCAAGACUUCUGCUCUUGUUGGUUCUCUAUGCUGAUGCCAGAGCGAUCUGCACACUGCAGGUCUCACCCCGUUGGCUCCCUGCUCAAGCCUUCUGAGGUUCCUUGGGGAACUGGACUUCUCAUCAUCUACCUAACUGCUUUUCCAGUGUCCAUAAAGAUGGUUUCAUUGGAACACGGUCGCCACUCCUUUGUUUUCGUAUUGUCUAUGGCUGCUUCUAUGCUCCGGCAGCAGAGUUGAGAAGUUGUGUGCCAGAAGAGACAGCCCAUGAAGCCUUGGAUACUUUCUACCUGGCCCCUAACAGAAAACAUGUGUAGACGCCUGGCUUAGCCCUGGAAUAGGACUGCCAGGGAUCAAAUCCUGACCCCGCUUUCUACGACUCACGAAACACGAGGCAACACUCUUAACCUGUCUGUGUCUUUGUUUCCUUGCCCAUGGAUUAAAAGUAGGGCUGUU